rnacentral:rRNA from 1 species
CGGGGUACUCGAGUGGCGAACGGGUGAGUAACACGUGGGUGAUCUGCCCUGCACUUCGGGAUAAGCUUGGGAAACUGGGUCUAAUACCGGAUAGGAGCCAUCUUUAGUGUGGUGGUUGGAAAGUUUUUCGGUGUAGGAUGAGCUCGCGGCCUAUCAGCUUGUUGGUGGGGUAAUGGCCUACCAAGGCGGCGACGGGUAGCCGGCCUGAGAGGGUGUACGGCCACAUUGGGACUGAGAUACGGCCCAG